rnacentral:lncRNA from 1 species
UUAAAUACAUUAAAGACAUUCACCUUAAAUAGAAGUGUAAGAAUCUUCUAUUUAUAACAGUACAGAAGUUUUUAUGUUUUUUUUAAGAAUUCAGACAAUUGGAUCUGAAUUCUGAAGAGUUUAAUAAGUAUAUACGUCAAUGAAGUAUCUAGUCCAUUUAGUUCCUAUCAUUUCUUUGGUUUCAAUUUCAAAUUUUGGUUCUUAAUCUAUUUUCUCAUUCUCUGAGAAUUUUAUGUACUACUGUUUCAUCUUUAAUGUCUUAAUGAAUACACCAAAUUUUGAUUUUGACCUUCGGAUUUUCUUUCAUUUAUUCAUAUUUUGAUCUUUCUCCUUAUUUUAAUAUAUAUAUAUCAAGUUGAGAGCUAUAAUUGAUUAUAAUUGAAUUGAAUGUCACUGUAGAUCAUCUCUGGUUCUCUACAAUUAUUAGGCUAAAGUAAUAAGUUGUGAUAUAAAAAAGAAAAAGGUAAUGUUACUUUUGUUAGAAGGAAGGAAGAUUUGUGACAUGGUGAGCAUUUAUGCUAAAGUUUAUUUAUAUAUAUUUUUUAAUUUUUGGAUUAUUACUGCUUUUUAUUUUUAAUAUCAAUUAUUAGGCUAAAGUAAUAAGUUGUGAUAUAAAAAAGAAAAAGGUAAUGUUACUUUUGUUAGAAGGAAGGAAGAUUUGUGACAUGGUG